rnacentral:tRNA from 1 species
UAGUAAGUGGUGUAGUGGAAGCACAGAGAGUUUUGAUCUCUCCGGGUUGGGUUCGAACCCCUUCUUUCUAA